rnacentral:rRNA from 1 species
AAUGGGUCAGCGACUUAUAUUCUGUAGCAAGGUUAACCGAAUAGGGGAGCCGAAGGGAAACCGAGUCUUAACUGGGCGUUAAGUUGCAGGGUAUAGACCCGAAACCCGGUGAUCUAGCCAUGGGCAGGUUGAAGGUUGGGUAACACUAACUGGAGGACCGAACCGACUAAUGUUGAAAAAUUAGCGGAUGACUUGUGGCUGGGGGUGAAAGGCCAAUCAAACCGGGAGAUAGCUGGUUCUCCCCGAAAGCUAUUUAGGUAGCGCCUCGUGAAUUCAUCUCCGGGGGUAGAGCACUGUUUCGGCAAGGGGGUCAUCCCGACUUACCAACCCGAUGCAAACUGCGAAUACCGGAGAAUGUUAUCACGGGAGACACACGGCGGGUGCUAACGUCCGUCGUGAAGAGGGAAACAACCCAGACCGCCAGCUAAGGUCCCAAAGUCAUGGUUAAGUGGGAAACGAUGUGGGAAGGCCCAGACAGCCAGGAUGUUGGCUUAGAAGCAGCCAUCAUUUAAAGAAAGCGUAAUAGCUCACUGGUCGAGUCGGCCUGCGCGGAAGAUGUAACGGGGCUAAACCAUGCACCGAAGCUGCGGCAGCGACACUAUGUGUUGUUGGGUAGGGGAGCGUUCUGUAAGCCUGUGAAGGUGUACUGUGAGGUAUGCUGGAGGUAUCAGAAGUGCGAAUGCUGACAUAAGUAACGAUAAAGCGGGUGAAAAGCCCGCUCGCCGGAAGACCAAGGGUUCCUGUCCAACGUUAAUCGGGGCAGGGUGAGUCGACCCCUAAGGCGAGGCCGAAAGGCGUAGUCGAUGGGAAACAGGUUAAUAUUCCUGUACUUGGUGUUACUGCGAAGGGGGGACGGAGAAGGCUAUGUUGGCCGGGCGACGGUUGUCCCGGUUUAA